rnacentral:sRNA from 1 species
UGCAACUAUUUCUAUUUUAGAGUAGCUGC